rnacentral:rRNA from 1 species
AGGGGGACCUUCGGGCCUCUUGCCAUCGGAUGUGCCCAGAUGGGAUUAGCUAGUAGGUGGGGUAACGGCUCACCUAGGCGACGAUCCCUAGCUGGUCUGAGAGGAUGACCAGCCACACUGGAACUGAGACACGGUCCAGACUCCUACGGGAGGCAGCAGUGGGGAAUAUUGCACAAUGGGCGCAAGCCUGAUGCACCCAUGCCGCGUGUAUGAAGAAGGCCUUCGGGGUUGUAAAAGUACUUUCACCGGGGAGGAAGGGAGUAAAGUUAAUACCCUUUGCUCAUUUGACGUUACCCGCAAAAAAAAGCAACCGGCUAACUCCGUGCCCACCCCCCGCGGUAAUACGGAAGGGUGCAAGCGUUAAUCGGGAAUUACUGGGGCGUAAAACCGCACGCCGGGCGGUUUGGUUAAGUCAAAAUGUUAAAAUCCCCGGGCCUCAACCCGGGGAAACUGCCUUCUGAAUACUGGCAAGCUUUGAGUCUCGUAGAAGGGGGGUAGAAUUUCCAGGUGUAGCGGGUGAAAUGCGUAAAAGAUCUGGAAGAAUACCCGGUGGCGAAAGGCGGCCCCCUGGACGAAAACUGACGCUCAGGUGCGAAAAGCGUGGGGGAGCAAACAGGAUUAAAAUACCCUGGUAGUCCACCCCCGUAAACCAUGUCCACUUGGAAGGUUGUGCCCCUGAGGCGUGCUCUCCGGAACUAACCGCGUUAAGUACGACCCCCCUGGAGGAGUACGGCCGCCCGUAAAACCUCACAUGAUACGACCGGGGGCCCGCCACAAGCCGAUGGAGCAUGUGGUUUAUUUCGAUGCACGCCGAAGAACCUACCUGGUCUUGACAUCCAC